GAUGAACGCUAGCUACAGGCUUAACACAUGCAAGUCGAGGGGCAGCGCAGUGUAGCAAUACACGGGCGGCGACCGGCGCACGGGUGCGUAACGCGUAUCCAACCUUCCCGUUACUCUCGGAUAGCCCUCCGAAAGGGAGAUUAAUACGAGAUGGUGUUGAAAUUCCGCAUGUUAUUUCAACUAAAGAUUCAUCGGUAACGGAUGGGGAUGCGUGACAUUAGGUAGAUGGCGGGGUAACGGCCCACCAUGCCCACGAUGUCUAGGGGUUCUGAGAGGAAGGUCCCCCACACUGGAACUGCGACACGGUCCAGACUCCUACGGGAGGCAGCAGUGAGGAAUAUUGGUCAAUGGUCGGAAGACUGAACCAGCCAAGUAGCGUGAAGGAUGAAGGUUCUAUGGAUUGUAAACUUCUUUUAUACGGGAAUAAAACCUCCACGUGUGGGAGCUUGUAUGUACCGUAUGAAUAAGCAUCGGCUAACUCCGUG
rnacentral:rRNA from 1 species